GACAGAGGUGCCAAGCGUUAGGCGGAAUCACUGGGCUUAAGGCGUGUGUAGGCGGAACGUUAAGUGCCUUGUGAAAUCCCACGGCUCAACCGUGGAACUGCUGGGCAUACUGGCGUUCUUGAGCCAAUCAGGGGUCGCCGGAACAAACGGUGGAGCGGUGAAAUGCGUAGAUAUCGUUUGGAACGCCGAAGGCGAAAGCAGGCGACUGGGAUUGCGCUGACGCUGAGACACGAAAGCCAGGGGAGCGAACGGG
rnacentral:rRNA from 1 species